rnacentral:ncRNA from 1 species
AUUAUGACGAAGAAGGAAUGAAGUAGUUUAUAAUCUUUGUAAUAGAAAGCUUGUGGGUGAUGGAAACAAGUCAUGGUUAUAGAUGAAAUUGGGAUUCUGGAGUUAUUGGUAGCAACAGUUAUCAAUCGUUAAUCGCGUUAAGAUAAGAGUGCAUAUCAUUAGAUAUGAACAAAGGUGGUACCACGUAUAUUUACGUCCUUUUA